rnacentral:rRNA from 1 species
UUAGCACUCCUCUCAUGUCUGGUAAGUCUUCACUUGACCUUCAUUCUGCUGUCUCCGGGUAAUUCCUGCGUGAUCCAAUUGAACCGGCNAANGGGCUUCACCCCUUGUGGUGCUCCCCCGCCAAUUCCUUUAAGUUCAGACUUGCGUCCGUACUUCCCAGGCGGCAAACUUAACGGCUUCCCUGCGGCACUGCAUUGGCCAUAGGCCAAUGCAUCACCGAGUUUGCAUCGUUUACAGCUGGGACUACCCGGGUAUCUAAUCCGGUUUGCUCCCCCAGCUUUCAUCCCUCACCGUCGAACGUGUUCUAGCAGACCGCCUUCGCCACUGGUGGUCCUCAAUGGAUCAGAGGAUUUUACCCCUACCCACUGAAUACCGUCUGCCUCUCCCACUCCCUAGCUCUGUAGUAUCUCCANGNNCGGCCCAUCNUGGNUUGAGCNNAGGUGGGANUUUUAACCCGAAAAANNAAAAAGGGGGNAAACCUUUGGNCAAGAA